rnacentral:rRNA from 2 species
UCUGCCCUGCACUCUGGGACAAGCCCUGGAAACGGGGUCUAAUACCGGAUACUGACCCUCGCAGGCAUCUGCGAGGUUCGAAAGCUCCGGCGGUGCAGGAUGAGCCCGCGGCCUAUCAGCUUGUUGGUGAGGUAAUGGCUCACCAAGGCGACGACGGGUAGCCGGCCUGAGAGGGCGACCGGCCACACUGGGACUGAGACACGGCCCAGACUCCUACGGGAGGCAGCAGUGGGGAAUAUUGCACAAUGGGCGAAAGCCUGAUGCAGCGACGCCGCGUGAGGGAUGACGGCCUUCGGGUUGUAAACCUCUUUCAGCAGGGAAGAAGCGAAAGUGACGGUACCUGCAGAAGAAGCGCCGGCUAACUACGUGCCAGCAGCCGCGGUAAUACGUAGGGCGCAAGCGUUGUCCGGAAUUAUUGGGCGUAAAGAGCUCGUAGGCGGCUUGUCGCGUCGGUUGUGAAAGCCCGGGGCUUAACCCCGGGUCUGCAGUCGAUACGGGCAGGCUAGAGUUCGGUAGGGGAGAUCGGAAUUCCUGGUGUAGCGGUGAAAUGCGCAGAUAUCAGGAGGAACACCGGUGGCGAAGGCGGAUCUCUGGGCCGAU